UUCAGUUAUUUAUGACUGUAUAAAAUAAAGACCAUAAGAUCUGUAAGCAUUUAAUGUUGACGUUAUAAUUUACAUGUUCUAUAACGAUGAUGUUUUUAUGUUCACAUCUUGUUCUCUACUGUCGGUUUUAUUUGUUCCUGAAAGUUUGAACGUGAGGAGGAAAUGGAACUUCACCUACUUCAAAAUAAGAGCGUAAAUAAAUGUGUGACUACCUGAAGAGUUUUUAACAGCCAAUAAUCAAAACACAAACUUUAUUCAACUGAAAGUUUACAAAACAUCCAAAUAAAUAAGCAGUUAGCGUUUAUCCACCAAAAUGUAUUUAAUGGAAGCUAAGUGCACCAAAGGUUUGCAAAGUCAGCAGAAGUGUUAAAAAUUAGCUCUGCUAUUACUAGCUCAGCUAAUUUUUAGCGCUUCAGAAUUUAUCAGGAGAAAUGUAUUUAGGUGAUGGCAAAUAUGCUAAACAUUUUCACAGUUUGGAAAGGUGCUAAGCUAAUAUUAGCAGAGCUAAUGUUUAGCUUAGUGUUUCAGAAAUUAUGCCAAAGAAUUCAUUUAGAGGAAGCUAAGCGCGCUAAAUGUUUUCAAAAGCACUAAACAAAAAAAAUUAGCUCCACUAUCAGCUUAUCAGCAGAAUUGUGUCCCUGUUGAUGAACAGAUUUCUGCUUCCUUGCUAACGAUGUUUGUGUUUGUUUAUUUUCUGUCUCUGAUUGGUCACUGAGCAGCCAAUCCCCAGGCGGUGGACCGGUCCAAGGGUUUUUUCCCUGAAACCGGGUUACUGGUUCAGUUCUGAACUUUCUGCUCCGCCACCUGGUUCGCUCCUCACCUGGCUCUCUUUUCAUUGGUUGGUUGGUCGUUUUACCUUUUGAGAGUUUUACAGAUAAAAUGGAGGUCAGGGGUCAUCAAAACACCUGAGCAACAAUUUCAAUUCAAAACAUCGACUGAGAGAUGAAAUUAAUCGGGAGAAACUUGGGGAUUAUUUUCCACAACAGAAAUGUUUGAGGCACAGCUUGUCGCUGCCUUUUUACGUCCGGAAUGAAAAACCGAGUUUCUGUUUUUCUAAAACAACGUUUUUCCUCCUCCACAUGAUUUCAUCUCCUGACAGGCAUCCAACCCACUGCGCCGUCCUUCGCUCGUUGUGAGUCUGUCACUGUUUUCUAAAAGCUGACAUGAAAUCAGACUGCAGGUGUUUUUCUGUCCAAAGCUUUUCAUCUCGUUGAAAAAGGUCCGAUCGCAUUCAGACGUCAAACAUGCAGUGACUUUUCAAACGGCGCUUUGCUGCUCAGUCAGAGGGAAACGUCCAGAUCCCAGGAGAAUCUGACCUCUGACCCGACUGAACACACCUGAGCGAGAAUAUGGAAAUAUGGAGCAACCAGAACCGGAACAGCCAGAACCAGCCAAUGUGGUAAAGACCAACACGUUCUGAACCGACGGAUCAGUUUGGUUCUGGAGCGUUUCACGCCUGUCUAAACCUGAUUCUGGAUCUGGGAAGCAGUUUCUGCUGGGAACGUCCGGAAUGUUCCUGCUUCCCAGCAGAAGGAGCUUCAUAACCACCAUUUUCCCGAGCGAUCCGACAGAAACCCAAUGGGACGAAACGAGUUCUGAUGAAUAAACAGGAAGCGACUUGACGGCAAAGUGGAAGAAAUUGGAAAUAAUUGAAUCCUGAUUAAAAUGUUAUCAGCUGA